rnacentral:piRNA from 1 species
UNGGGCCUCUCCUUUUAGGAUGCAUUGUG